rnacentral:rRNA from 1 species
GACGAACGCUGGCGGCGUGCUUAACACAUGCCAGUCGAACGAUGAAGCCAGCUUGCUGGUGGAUUAGUGGCGAACGGGUGAGUAACACGUGGGUGAUCUGCCCCAAACUUUGGGAUAAGCCUGGGAAACUGGGUCUAAUACCGAAUAUGACCGAUACUCGCAUGGGUGUUGGUGGAAAGCUCCGGCGGUUUGGGAUGGGCCCGCGGCCUAUCAGCUUGUUGGUGGGGUAAUGGCCUACCAAGGCGACGACGGGUAGCCGGCCUGAGAGGGCGACCGGCCACACUGGGACUGAGACACGGCCCAGACUCCUACGGGAGGCAGCAGUGGGGAAUAUUGCACAAUGGGCGCAAGCCUGAUGCAGCGACGCCGCGUGAGGGAUGACGGCCUUCGGGUUGUAAACCUCUUUCACCAGGGACGAAGCGAAAGUGACGGUACCUGGAGAAGAAGCACCGGCCAACUACGUG